CUACGGGACGCUGCAGUGGGGAAUAUUGGACAAUGGGGGAAACCCUGAUCCAGCAAUGCCGCGUGUGUGAAGAAGGCCUGCGGGUUGUAAAGCACUUUCGGUUGGGAGGACUGCUUCUAGCACUAAUAUUGUUGGAAGUUGACGUUACCUUCAGAAGAAGCACCGGCUAACUCCGUGCCAGCAGCCGCGGUAUACGGAGGGUGCAAGCGUUAAUCGGAAUCACUGGGCGUAAAGCGCGCGUAGGCGGCUAGAUCAGUCGGGUGUGAAAGCCCCGGGCUUAACCUGGGAACUGCAUCCGAUACUGUCUAGCUUGAGUACAGGAGAGGAGAGUGGAAUUCCACAUGUAGCGGUGAAAUGCGUAGAUAUGUGGAGGAACACCAAUGGCGAAGGCAGCUCUCUGGCCUGAUACUGACGCUGAGGUGCGAAAGCGUGGGGAGCAAACAGGAUUAGAUACCCUUGUAGUC
rnacentral:rRNA from 1 species